GGAAGCCAGUGCAGCUGUGACCAAAGUCUAAGGCCAAAUCCAAGCUCCAUACUCUCCGGAACUGCUCACCAUCGCUAGGUUCCAGUCCUCGUUCUGCUGAUUGGUGUGUGUAUGCCUAUAAGUUCCAUCACAUCCUGAAGUCUCCUGAGCUGGCACUUGUCACUCCACACAGAGCAUUACCUGAUCUAGGUGUUCCCACCUGUGAUGGGAAAUGUGACCUGUGACUCUGCUCCCUCCUCACCACACAGCCACCCCAUCCCCAGUAGGCCCCAGACCUUCCUGGCAUUCGGUUGCUCCCUGAGAAACCCCACACCUAACUGGCCCUCAUCACCUAUAACCAGUGAGGCCUCCCAACAGCCCUGGGUCUGCAGAGGCCUCUGGGGAGAGGACAGCGAGGCAUUUUAGUAACAUGCAGCAGUGACCAGAUCUGAACACGCUUUUGCUUCCUUAUUUCCAGUGGUGUAAGCCCUUUGCCUUCUGGAAAGCCUUUAUUUAAAAUAAACACAGAAAAGAUGUGUGACACUGUGAGUUACAAUGCAAUACAAUCAUCCCUUAAGUACCAAACGCUGUUCAAACAAGGUUCAUGGAUGAACCGACAAAUUUACAAAAGGAAGGAGCUGCAAAGAGGCGGGCCUGCCAUUCUGUGCGGGGUCCCCCUGAAGCGCUGGGCAG